AUGGGGCUAUCCCCUCCCCCCAGCCAGGAGCCUACAGGUGAGAGUCCUCUGGCUCCUGCGGGGGGGCCGCCACCCAACAAGGUCCCUCGGGGCAGCCCACCCAGCGCCCGGGGGGAGGGGCGGCAGGGGCUGGACCAGCGCCGUGCCCCGGCCGAGCCACCCCCCCGGGGUGCCUGCCGGGCGCUGGGGCCGGCAAACAAACUCUCGGCGCCCCCCGCAGCCAAUCAGCGCGAGGGAGCCCCCGUGCCCGCCCCACGGGCCCAGGUGCCCGGCGCGGGGCCGGGCGGGCGGNNNNNNNNNNNNNNNNNNNNNNNNNNNNNNNNNNNNNNNNNNNNNNNNNNNNNNNNNNNNNNNNNNNNNNNNNNNNNNNNNNNNNNNNNNNNNNNNNNNNNNNNNNNCGCGGCGCUUGCGAGCCCCCCCUGUCCCGGGCGGAGCGCGGUGGCGACCGCGCCGGAGAUGCUGCAGACAGAGGACGCCCCGUGGCGGCGGAAAGCCUGUGCGAGGCGGCGGCUGCAGCUGGAGCCGGGGGGUGGCGCGGAGACACGGCCGCCUCGGAUCCACAACGUGCGUGUGUCGGUGUCGGGGUGUGUGUGUGUGCGUGCGCGCGCGUGUAAGGGCUGCUGCCGCUGCUGCUGCAAGGGACCGAGGGAAAAUUCUCCCUCCCGGGGAAAGGCGGAGGCGAGCGGCGAGAGCAGAUCAUCAAGAAACUCAUUCGUACAAUAAUUACCAUAUAUUGUAUUUAUGAUAUUUCUGAUACUGGAGGAAAACUAUACAUCUGAUAACAUGGAUCAUCUUUGCUAACCUGCAGGAAGAAAGCUGAGAGAAAGCAGAAUGGGAGCGGAUGGGUCAAAAAACUUUUUAGCAAUCUCAUAAUCCAUUCAAUUCAUUGCAAAAUCACAUUCAAAAUCAGAACUAUGUUGGUAAUCUCAUCAGAGAGGCCUGAGACUGAAUGACUAUUGAAGACUGAACUACCUUACAAGGACUUCUUCAGUAACAGGACUGGACCACAUUGGUGAAGCUGUAGAGCAAAAUUGAUUGUACUGUAUGAGCUCGAGAAAGAAUUUCUCUUUCCAUUAAGAAGUAGUCAUUUGGGCAUUUCAUAAUAAUAGAUGGAUAAAUUAUGUUCUCAGCUGUAUUGUGUAAAUAUGGAGAAACUCCACAGGUGUCAGUUAAAUUCCUCAGAGUCCAGGGCAAAAACUGGCCUGGAAUAUGCAAAUUUGACAUAUAAUGCCAUCAUUCAGUUAUUCUCUUUCUUGCUUCAUUUUGCACAUUUCAUUUCAUCUUCAUAAUUUUACUUUCCCAACAUAAAGUCUUCAAACAGCACCACUCUUACUGCUGGUUUUUCAGAUGACGCUUUGUCUGCAGUUGAGAUCAGCCAAGUUGCCCAAGCUUAACUGUCUCUAGAUUUAAACAUCUGGGCUGAAAUCCAGGCCCCAUUGAAGUCAAUGGGCGUUUUUUCAUUGACUUCAGCAGGGCUGGGAUUUCACCCUUGGCGAUUGGCAGCAGAAUGUUCUUAACAGACAGCUGUUGACUGGUACUGACCUUUCCACACUAGACUAACAGAGCCUAACUGCAGGCCCAUCUUUUUCUUCUUCUUUUUUUCCUGUGCGAGUCAGAGCUGGAUAAAGUACAUUUAGAUUAUUUGGGGUGAGUUAUUGUUGCCUUCAUCAAUAGAGCUGAAUUUCUUUUUAACCUUGUACAUGCCUCUCUGGAGGUUGUAAUUCAGUUCAUUUUGAAGUAGAUAAGUAAAUAUACAGGAGUUGACCAGCCCCUCCCAUAAAGAAACCUGCAGGAAGGAGAUUAUGGGGCUGGCUUACCAUGGCUUGACAGUAACCUUGCUGGUCGUUUGACCCCAGUACUCUUUCCUGCCAUGGCAGGCGGUCGGACUUGAUGAUCUGCUCAGGUCCCUUCCAACCCUACAAACUAUGAAACUAUAAGGCUGAGAUUACAAGAAAACAUCCCCUCAUUGGAAGGGUUUAAGUAGCAUGGAGUUGGUGCAGAAAGCGGUCCACAAAGAAAAGCUCGAAAAAGGGAACUACAUAAAGACAUAGGCUUACAUGUUGCUGCUCUGCGUCCUUUUUCUCCCUUUCUGCUACUAUCAUUUCAGAUGCUGUGGUAAUGGGCACAGUACAAAAAAAUCCCACAAACAAUCUAGACAGAAUAGAAUUGAAACAGCGUGGUUCUGACAAGAGUCACGUAGCCACUGGAUGACUUCCUCACACAGCAGCAGCUGUCGAAGGGACUCCAUAGGAAUUAAUGGUACCGGGGAGGAACUUUUAUAUUUAAUUCCUCAAUAAUGAGUUUGAAAAAUGCAAAAUGCACUCAUUUGUCCUGCUAUUUUUAGGUGGUGUCAGCUGCCCUUUUACAUAUACUUCGGACUUCUUCCUUGAUAAAUAACAACAAGGCUAAUUAAUAAUAACGCCAAAAUGUAUUCUCCCUUAUCCAAAAACAAAAAAAUCCACAGCAGAUAAUUGACACAAUAGUUGAACCAGUGCAAUGUUUCAAGCUUCCUCAAAUCAUCCAAGUUUAGAAAGCAUGUAACUUAAUUGGAUUGCUAUUGCACUGACAGCUCCCCAUGUACUGUAUGCUGAAGGACUGCAUCUUUGCUAUAUGACUGGGUACAAAACCUAAUGCUGUCAGUAAUGCAGAUCAUUAGGCACUGUGAUCAGCAUCACAACUCCUGUUUAACCACCAUUAGAAAGUGAAAACAACAAGCUUCUUUAUGAUGAAUUGCAUUUGUGAAAGAAAAAAAAAAACAUAAAACACUUUACUCCUAAAAUAUUUUGAAUGGAGGUGUGGGCCCCUUUGAAAGUAAAUGUGGCUAUUCAUAUACUUUUGGUUGAUCAUAUUCAUUUUUUCAUGGACCCCUUAGACAUAGCCUUCUAUGAUCCCAGAGUCUGCAGACCACAGGUUGAAAAACACUGGUUUACAGGAUUUUGGCCUAAUCCUGUAAGUCUUUUCCGCACGUAAUUCUCACACACAAUAGUUCUAGUGAAGCUCAGAUUAAUUCAUCACAACAGAAAAGAAAGGGUUUCUCUGUUAAGUAAGCGUUUUCUGGAUCAAGCCCUCUGUUUGCUAAUAAAAGGAGUUACAGACUUCCCCA
rnacentral:lncRNA from 1 species